rnacentral:sRNA from 1 species
CCUCUCCAAUCAUUUAUAAAUCACCUGCAUAUAUUUCAUCAGUAGCGUU